UGUGUGUGUGUGUGUGUGUGUGUGUGUCUCUGUCUGUGUGUAUGCUUGUUUGUAGGAAACGGUAAAGUGAUGGUGGAGGUGAAACAGACCUCGGAUCAGUUUGUACCUGAGCAGAUUGAAGGAGUCGUUCAGGUGAACGAGUUUUCCUGGGGUGAGUUGGAUCCUAAGGAGGAAGAGGAGGGUGAAGAUGAAGACUGGGAUCUGACUGUUUCAUAGACUCCCAGAGGAUUCUGGGUAGUGGUUCAAUAAGUCAGUUUUCUCACUGCAUCGUCAUGUUUUCUUUGAUCUUUGAUACUUUUACAACAACUUUUUUCAAACCAAAUAAAAAUGAACAAAAUAUUGUUUUUAAAAUCAA